CCUACGGGAGGCUGCAGUGAGGAAUAUUGGUCAAUGGCCGGAAGGCUGAACCAGCCAAGUCGCGUGAGGGACGACUGCCCUAUGGGUUGUAAACCUCUUUUAUAAGGGAAGAAUAAAUGCUACGUGUAGCAUGAUGCCUGUACCUUAUGAAUAAGCAUCGGCUAACUCCGUGCCAGCAGCCGCGUUAAUACGGAGGAUGCGAGCGUUAUCCGGAUUUAUUGGGUUUAACGGGUUCGUAGGCGGUUUUUUAAGUUAGUGGUUAACCGUCGGGGCUUCACCUUGAUUUGCCAUUAAUACUGUAAGACGCGAGUUCAGACGAGGUAGGCGGAAUAAGUUAAGUAGCGGUGAAAUGCUUAGAUAUAACUUAGAACUCCGAUAGCGAAGGCAGCUUACCAGACUGCGACUGACGCUGAAGCACGAGAGCGUGGGUAGCGAACAGGAUUAGAUACCCCUGUAGUC
rnacentral:rRNA from 1 species